CAGGCUCAGCCUGUUCAGUCAUUAAUAAUCACUGUGUGGAAAAGAGUCCAUGGGCUAGUAAUCUAGCAAGAAAAAAUGAAGUCGAGGGAGCUUGAGUCAAAACUUCCUCAUGAACAACACUAGUGAUGUCCAAGUUGAGGUUAAUGGGCUCUGAAGUUGCAAGAAGAAUUUUUACUUAGAGUGGGAAGCAAGUCAUCCUUCACUCCUCCUUGUUCCUGACUUUUUGUUCAGCUCACAUAUACAAUCUGGGACAAUGUCUUGUUAAUUCUGUAUGGUUAUGCAGUGAACUAGUGUUUAUUGUGUGUUGCACACCAAGUGUAACCUGACUGGGUGACUUCAGUCCUUUAAAUACGUAAACUCUAAUUUAUCCAAGAAGAAUUUGUCCUAAGCAUUUAUAAUUAUAUGCAUUCUUUUCACC
rnacentral:lncRNA from 10 species